rnacentral:rRNA from 1 species
UACGAAGGGGGCUAGCGUUGCUCGGAAUCACUGGGCGUAAAGCGCAUGUAGGCGGAUUUCUAAGUCAGGGGUGAAAUCCUGGAGCUCAACUCCAGAACUGCCUUUGAUACUGGGAAUCUCGAGUCCGGGAGAGGUGAGUGGAACUGCGAGUGUAGAGGUGAAAUUCGUAGAUAUUCGCAAGAACACCAGUGGCGAAGGCGGCUCACUGGCCCGGUACUGACGCUGAGGUGCGAAAGCGUGGGGAGCAAACAGG